rnacentral:lncRNA from 1 species
CCUGUUUUGUUUUUGCUGCUGGACCUGCUACAGACGCAACCCUGGCAGCGCAGCCCGGAGCACAGCCGAGGCUUCCUCUUUCUCUCAGUUCCUGGCUGCUUCAGUAUGAACAGAAAAGGUGGGCAGGGGCCAACUGGCAGGAGCCUCCGAAAUAGCAGCACAUGAUCCUCCUACCAGCAGCAGAAAGGCCAGCCCGCAAGACCUCGCCGCCUGCCCAGCUCUGUCAUUGACUAAGGUUGCUUUUGUCAGUACAGCCGCCAGGGGUUUCCACGCUCAUUCCCCUCCGGACAAGGUGGACAGCUUUGGUGAUAGACAACUGGGAGGUAAAACUCCACAGAGCCAUGCCAGCGACUGACCGCCCAGGGACAGGAGAUGGAGACGUUCAGCUGCAAAGGCUACGGAGGAACCCCCGCAAUUGGAAUCUCUCCAUGCCUUCUGCAGCAUGGAAACAUACUCCGGGACCUACCGGGGCUCUCUCGGGCCACCUCUGAGUGCAAGGGAAAAGAGUGCAGUUCAAGGAAGGGAAUGUGUCUGUCAUCCCACCACUUGCGCGCAAGGCCAGUUCCGGGAUCAGCAGGCUUCCUUCACCAGCACGGGCUCUUCAUUAGCAACCACUGGGAGGGAAUGUGUGCGGAGUCAGGUUUUUUUUAGCCAAGUCUUAUUUACAUAUCCUGGCCAGCAAGCACGUGAUUAACCCAAGGAUGUUGGAGGGAAGGCAGAUGCUACAUCUGAAAAAAAUCUGAUUAUGUUUCAUUCUGGAGAUACAAACAGCCGAGCUGUCAAAAGGACAACAGUCUCUUGGGCCAACAUGACACCAAACUCUCAAACUCUGGAGACCCUCAGAGACAAGGAGGAGGAGCUGCUGAGUUCAAACAAGAACAAUGAAUUCCUCAAGCCCAAGCAAGAAUGUGACAAGGUGUCAACAAAGCCAACCAGGAAGGUGAUGUAUGGCCCAUAAAUCACUUCACAAACCAGGGCUGCAAAGAAAGCACCCAGCAACCCAGAGCCCCGAGUGUGAGUUUUUUCUACUCCUAAACCUUCACACCCCCCACAUCCACCCUCCUCCAGCACCUCACUGACUGCUCACCUGUCACUCCUCCACUGACCAAUUGGCCUACUCAUGGGUGUCAAGAUGGGAAGGCACAUGUUCCUAUCUUGACAGCAGCAGAAAGAAAAAUGGCAGCAGAAGGAAAACAGCAGCAGAAAGAAAAAUUUGACUCAGAUGGGUUGAGAGGGCAAUGGCAAGCAAUCUUGGUACAUGUCAGCUGCAUCUCAGAGUCUCGCUUUGUUGCCCAGGCAGUGGCAUGAUCUUGGCUCACUCCAAACUCCGCCUCCUGAGUUCAAGCUGCUCGCUGGAAUUACAGGUGCCCGCCACCACAGCUGUCUAAUUUCUUGGUUUUUGUUUUUGUUUUUGAGAUGGAGUUUCGCUCUUGUCACCCAGGCUGGAGUGCCAUGGUGCAAUCUCAGCUCACUGCAACCUCUGCCUCCCAGGUUCAAGUGAUUCUCCGGCUUCAGCCUCCCAAGUAGCUAGGAUUACAGGCAUGCGCCACCACACCCGGCUAAUUUUUUGUAUUUUUAGUAGAGAUGGGGUUUCACCUUGUUGGCCAGGCUGGUCUCGAACUCCUGACCUCAAGUGAUUGACCUGCCUCGGCCUCCGAAAGUGCUGGAAUUACAGGCCUGAGCCACUGUGCCAGGCCAAAAUAAUGGUAUUUUGAGCAUUUACUAGGUACUGGAUACUUUAGCUGAAACUACAAUGGAGAUAUUACCAGCCUCAUUUCACAAAAGAAGAAAUUUAGUCUCAGAGAGGUAACAAAGGCCUAAGGUUAGUAAGUGAUAAGGUUCAGACUCAAAUGCAGAUAUGUUAAGACCCAAAGUACGUACACUUUACAGUACCCCAAGUAGGAAGAUAUAUUUUGAAGAGGAACAUAGCAGAUGUUCUCUGUCACCAUUAAGAACAAGACAAGAGGAAAUGGACUAAGAACCGUAAAAGGAGAAAUUCUAGGUUGAAUACAUGAAGACCCUCCUGUCACAGGAAAGACGAUUAAACUUGUACACCACUGUCAAGGAUGCUCAUGAAAUCUCCUUUCUAAAUUGCUUUUUUCAUACACAUAAGGAUGUUUUUCUACCAAAGAUAACUUCAAGACUGCAAGUGAAUUAAUCUAAACAUUUUCUUGGACACAAAAAUAUCUCAGACUCAAAAAUAAAAAAAUAAAUAAAAGCACAGGAUAAAACACCCAAAUUUUCAUACAAAUUGGGAAAUUUUGUGUUUGCCUUAUGGAUAUAAAAUGUCAGCUUCUCUAAAUGUUUAUUGUAAUAUAUUUGUUUCAAAGAUAGCAAAUAGUAAGUCUGAAUACUUACCACAUUAUUACAAUCCCAGCAGAAAAGUCUUUUUUUUUAGUAAAAAAAAAA